GUGUCAGCCGCCGCGGUAAUACGUAGGGUGCAAGCGUUAAUCGGAAUUACUGGGCGUAAAGCGUGCGCAGGCGGUUUUGUAAGACAGAGGUGAAAUCCCCGGGCUCAACCUGGGAACUGCCUUUGUGACUGCAAGGCUUGAGUGCGGCAGAGGGGGAUGGAAUUCCGCGUGUAGCAGUGAAAUGCGUAGAUAUGCGGAGGAACACCGAUGGCGAAGGCAAUCCCCUGGGCCUGCACUGACGCUCAUGCACGAAAGCGUGGGGAGCAAACAGGAUUAGAUACCCUGGUAGUCCACGCCCUAAACGAUGUCAACUGGUUGUUGGGAAGGUUCCUUCUCAGUAACGUAGCUAACGCGUGAAGUUGACCGCCUGGGGAGUACGGCCGCAAGGUUGAAACUCAAAUGAAUUGACGG
rnacentral:rRNA from 1 species